rnacentral:rRNA from 1 species
GCCAGACUCCUACGGGAGGCAGCAGUGGGGAAUAUUGGACAAUGGGGGGAACCCUGAUCCAGCGACGCCGCGUGAGUGAAGAAGUAUUUCGGUAUGUAAAGCUCUAUCAGCAGGGAAGAAAGAAAUGACGGUACCUGACUAAGAAGCCCCGGCUAACUACGUGCCAGCAGCCGCGGUAAUACGUAGGGGGCAAGCGUUAUCCGGAUUUACUGGGUGUAAAGGGAGCGUAGACGGUUAUGUAAGUCUGGAGUGAAAGCCCGGGGCCCAACCCCCGGACUGCUCUGGAAACUGUAGAACUAGAGUGCAGGAGGGGUAAGUGGAAUUCCUAGUGUAGCGGUGAAAUGCGUAGAUAUUAGGAGGAACACCAGUGGCGAAGGCGGCUUACUGGACAGUAACUGACGUUGAGGCUCGAAAGCGUGGGGAGCAAACAGGAUUAGAUACCCGCGUAUA